UUUACCAGAAUGCUUUGUUAUUUUCCACGGAAAAGUGGAGAGUUCUUUUUGGCUAGCAGCUUCCUUCCGCCUCUCUGUCCUUCAGCACAGUCAUUGUGUAAUUGGGUUUUUAAAAAAAACAUGGAAAAGUUUCUCAACUGCACUAACACAGAGGAACUUGUACUGCAUCCAGCAAUCCAGCAAGUCUUUUGGGAGCCUGGCAGACAGAUUCUGGCGUCAACAAGGCACCAAGCUCCAAGAUCAAGACCUGAAUUGCCUACAAUUUCUAAAGUCUGAUUCCCUCAAGCGGCCAGAAUGGAAAAUGCACAUCUUGCCUUUGAGUUUUAGGCUCAUGAAGCAAAUUGGAAUGACAGCGAACGAACAGAAUCAUUUUUCAACGAGGUUAAAAUAAAAGAUCUGAAUUUUAACUCAUGACGACAUCAACACAAACUUACUUUUGCCAUCCUUUAAAGAAGUUCCACUUCUAAGUGCCCAUCUAGAAGCAGAGGCAGUAUAUGUCCACACAAAAACUUGUAUGUGAAUGCUCAUGGUGGGUUAUUCACAGUACUGCAAAGUAGAAACAACCCAAAUGUCCCUCAGCUGAAGAACA